rnacentral:misc_RNA from 1 species
UACGGAGACUGCAAGCGUUGUUCGGAUUUACUGGGCGUAAAGGGCGCGUAGGCGGUAUGUCAUGUCAGGGGUGAAAGGCCUGGGCUCAACCCAGGAACUGCCUUUGAAACUGGCAAACUAGAGUCCGAUAGAGGAUGGCGGAAUUCUCAGUGUAGAGGUGAAAUUCGUAGAUAUUGGGAAGAACACCAGUGGCGAAGGCGGCCAUCUGGAUCGGCACUGACGCUGAGGCGCGAAAGCGUGGGGAGCAAACAGG